CUUACUAUAUGCAAAGAAGAAGAAAAAUGAGCCAAAUCCUCAAAUUUAUUUAUCCUUUGAUAGUCUUUCUUUAUUUAUUUCUUGUUGUAACCAAUGCCAUCAAUGGUAAUCGUCCAGGCAGACCCCCAACCUAUUAUCCAUUCCCUUGUAAAAAUCAUCGGGAUUGUUCCAAUAAAGCAUGUCACAUUCCUUUAAGACCUCGAUGCAUUUCUUCUUUUUGUGAGUGCAUUCUUCUUUUUGUGAGUGCGUAAAAGUGGAAUGAAAAUGAAAAGAAGUUUUAUGCUACUUCAAAUCGAAUUAUUUUAUUUGUAUGUUAUAAUAUUGGAUAGUCGAAGGGAGGUUGGCGAAUCUUGAGAUUAUCACAUAAAUCAUCAAAGAGUUGUAAUGGAAGUUUUUUGGUGAAUAUGUCAGCAAUUUGGUAGUGGAAAGGAACAUGUAAGACUUGUACCUGACAGCGAGCCACCUUUUCAUGCACAAAAUGUAUGUCCAUCUUGAUGUGUUUUGUGCGAUGAUGUACAACUGACUUACCAGAUAGAUAAACUGCACUCACUUUAUCAUAAUAUACUAGAGUGGUUGUGGUUACUAGGUAAUGGAGUUCCAACAAUAAAUUUAUAAUCUAACAAGAUUCAAGAUUCAUAUAUAACAUUAGCGAUGUUGCGGUACUCAGCUUCUACACUUGACCGAGAAAGUGUGUGUUGGCGUUUGGCAGAUCAUGAGAUGAGAUUGUCCCCAAAAUAAACACAAUCGCUAAAGGUGGAUCACCUGGUGUUUAGAUAACUAGUUUAAUCGACAUCAGUUAAAAUACUAGUUUGUUGAUAGAAGAGGGUUACAAAUGAAGGUCGAAAUCAAGAGUGUCGUGAAUAUAUCGAAUAAUACGCUUCAGAGCUUACAUAUGUUGUAUUUUAGGAUCAUGCAUGAAUAGCCAUACCUGUUGUAUUGCAUAAGAUAUAUCAUGUCUUCUGAAAGAUAAAUAUUGUUAUGUACCGGCAAGACUCAAAUAUUGUAUUGGGUCAUGAUAUGGAUUUCUAAAAGAUCCAUUAAGUUUUAUCUUAGUGUCGACUUGUGAAUGUGAUAACUUGCAAGAGGAUCCUGCUCAUUCUAUAAUUUCUCUGCAUAUUUAUUUUGAGAUAAUAAGAGACCGCAUGUAUGUUUAGUGAUAGAUAUCCCUAGAAAAUAACUCAGAGGAUCCAAGUCCUUUAUAGAAAAUUCAGAGUUGAGUUUAAACAAAAUAAAGUUACGAAGAACAUCAGAGAAGUAGUGAGAAUUAUGUCAUCCACAUAAAGAAGGAUCUAAGUAGUAUCAGUAGAGGUGGAAAUAGGCUAGGCUUUAGAAAGCCCGAGUCUGACCUAUGAUAAAUUUAUAAGGCUUGAGCCUGGUCUAUGGCAUACUUUAGCCUCAUAAUUUUUUUUUAAUAUCCUAAGUCUGCUCUAUUUAAUUAAAUAGGUUUUUAAAAAAUCAUUAACCCGACCUUUUUUAUUAAAUAGGUAUGGUCUGAUCUGACCUUAAAUAGGUUAGGCUAUAGACCCCUAUAGGCCGGUCUAUCCUAUUCUCACCCCUAAGUAUCAGUACCCUGGUGAUAAAUGAAUAAAGAGUGAUCAGAGAUAUUGUGAGAAAAUCCAAAUUGGGAAACAUAGUCAGUUAAUCUUUGACACCAUGCAUGAGUUUCUUGUCUGAGACCAUAAAUAGAAUUUUGUAGGAGACAUACAUGCUCAUGGUAUUGUGGGUCACAAAAUCCAAGAGGCUGGUGCAUAUACACGGUUUCAUUUAGAUUUCCAUCCAAAUGGGAAUUCUUGGCAUCUAAUUGAUGAAGGCACCAUGACUUAGAUAAUGUAAUGCUAAGUACCAUGCGAAUAAUUUCCGGAUUGCCGACGCGCUGAAUGUUUCACCACAAUCAACACCAUAUUGUUAAUUUGCAC